CGGCGUCCUCACCAACCGGACCUCUGACACCGAGCCAAGGC
rnacentral:ribozyme from 1 species